CAGGGCUGCAGAAGCAUCUGAAGCUGCAGAUCUCCAGAUGCAGGAUGGAGACCCUUCUUGGUUAACCUCAUGUAGACUACUAACUAGCUGCUAAUGAGUAGAAGUCAUUUCUGCCAAGUCAGAAUCAGGAGGCAGCAAAGCAUUCACUGCCAUCCAUGACAAAAGCACCUGCUGUAGUUACUGUUGAGCAAUGACAAGCUGCUGCAGUGUCUACAGGAAUUCUCCCAGCAGACAAUCCCUGGGACAUGUGAAAUCAAGACACUGGUGGAAGUGCUGAUCUGGGAAACCAAAGCCACAGCCUGUUGCCUGCAUGAUGUCUACACUGCCUUCCAUGUUUUGUCUAGCACCUAGUUCAUCAAAAUGUGAGUUCAGUGAAUAAGGGAAGAAGCCACACCCAGCCCGGCAAAUGCCUCUGUAUCCUGGGAUGGAGGACAGCCACCCAGCACCAUCCCAGGGUCCCUG